GUGAUUUGGAGAGAUUUGUUUUGUAGCUAAAUGUAGUAAAAUCUGUUUAGUGAAAAUUCCUUUUGAUUUAUAAUGAUUUUAAAUGGCGAAGUAGGAAAGUUAGCCUCUCAAUGCACACUAUUAUGUUAGAAUGCAUUCACGUCAUCUUCUUACUAGACUUGGAGAUUUGCUUAGUUAUAAACUGCAAUUCUUUUAAAUUAGGGCUGUCUGAUAGGAUGAUCGGGCAAAUUCCUGAAAUGUUGUCAAAUCAACAAACCGAACUGCAAGUGUAAUGGC